rnacentral:rRNA from 1 species
GAUGAACGCUAGCUACAGGCUUAACACAUGCAAGUCGAGGGGCAGCACAGUGUAGCAAUACAUGGGUGGCGACCGGCGCACGGGUGCGUAACGCGUAUCCAACCUUCCCGUUACUCUUGGAUAGCCUUCCGAAAGGGAGAUUAAUACAAGAUGGUAUUCAAAUUCCGCAUGUUAUUUGAAUUAAAGAUUUAUCGGUAACGGAUGGGGAUACGUGACAUUAGAUAGUAGGCGGGGUAACGGCCCACCUAGUCUACGAUGUCUAGGGGUUCUGAGGGGAAGGUACACGGGAAUGGAGCUGAGAUACUGUCUAGACUCGUACGGGAGGCAGCAGUGAGGAAUAUUGGUCAAGGAUCGGAAGACUGAACCAGCCAAGUAGCGUAAAAGAUGAAGGUUCUAUGGAUUGUAAAUUUCUUUUAUACAGGAAUAAAACACCUUACGUGUAGGGUCUUGUAUGUACCGUAUGAAUAAGCAUCGGCUAACUCCGUGCCAGCCGCCGCCGUAAGAC